rnacentral:rRNA from 1 species
UGGGGAAUUUUGGACAAUGGGGGAAACCCUGAUCCAGCCAUCCCGCGUGUGCGAUGAAGGCCUUCGGGUUGUAAAGCACUUUUGGCAGGCAAGAAACGUCAUGGGUUAAUACCCCGUGAAACUGACGGUACCUGCAGAAUAAGCACCGGCUAACUACGUGCCAGCAGCCGCGGUAAUACGUAGGGUGCAAGCGUUAAUCGGAAUUACUGGGCGUAAAGCGUGCGCAGGCGGUUCGGAAAGAAAGAUGUGAAAUCCCAGAGCUCAACUUUGGAACUGCAUUUUUAACUACCGGGCUAGAGUGUGUCAGAGGGAGGUGGAAUUCCGCGUGUAGCAGUGAAAUGCGUAGAUAUGCGGAGGAACACCGAUGGCGAAGGCAGCCUCCUGGGAUAACACUGACGCUCAUGCACGAAAGCGUGGGGAGCAAACAGG